rnacentral:piRNA from 1 species
UUGAAGAAUGAAAGUGGAAGAGAUGUUGGA